GGGGGGGGGGGGUGCUAUACAUGCAGUCGAACGAGUUCUGAUUAUUGAAAGGUGCUUGCAUCUUGAUUUAAUUUUGAACGAGUGGCGGACGGGUGAGUAACACGUGGGUAACCUGCCCUUAAGUGGGGGAUAACAUUUGGAAACAGAUGCUAAUACCGCAUAAAUCCAAGAACCGCAUGGUUCUUGGCUGAAAGAUGGCGUAAGCUAUCGCUUUUGGAUGGACCCGCGGCGUAUUAGCUAGUUGGUGAGGUAACGGCUCACCAAGGCAAUGAUACGUAGCCGAACUGAGAGGUUGAUCGGCCACAUUGGGACUGAGACACGGCCCAAACUCCUACGGGAGGCAGCAGUAGGGAAUCUUCCACAAUGGACGCAAGUCUGAUGGAGCAACGCCGCGUGAGUGAAGAAGGCUUUCGGGUCGUAAAACUCUGUUGUUGGAGAAGAAUGGUCGGCAGAGUAACUGUUGUCGGCGUGACGGUAUCCAACCAGAAAGCCACGGCUAACUACGUGCCAGCAGCCGCGGUAAUACGUAGGUGGCAAGCGUUAUCCGGAUUUAUUGGGCGUAAAGCGAGCGCAGGCGGUUUUUUAAGUCUGAUGUGAAAGCCCUCGGCUUAACCGAGGAAGUGCAUCGGAAACUGGGAAACUUGAGUGCAGAAGAGGACAGUGGAACUCCAUGUGUAGCGGUGAAAUGCGUAGAUAUAUGGAAGAACACCAGUGGCGAAGGCGGCUGUCUGGUCUGUAACUGACGCUGAGGCUCGAAAGCAUGGGUAGCGAACAGGAUUAGAUACCCUGGUAGUCCAUGCCGUAAACGAUGAAUGCUAGGUGUUGGAGGGUUUCCGCCCUUCAGUGCCGCAGCUAACGCAUUAAGCAUUCCGCCUGGGGAGUACGACCGCAAGGUUGAAACUCAAAGGAAUUGACGGGGGCCCGCACAAGCGGUGGAGCAUGUGGUUUAAUUCGAAGCAACGCGAAGAACCUUACCAGGUCUUGACAUCUUUUGAUCACCUGAGAGAUCAGGUUUCCCCUUCGGGGGCAAAAUGACAGGUGGUGCAUGGUUGUCGUCAGCUCGUGUCGUGAGAUGUUGGGUUAAGUCCCGCAACGAGCGCAACCCUUAUGACUAGUUGCCAGCAUUUAGUUGGGCACUCUAGUAAGACUGCCGGUGACAAACCGGAGGAAGGUGGGGAUGACGUCAAAUCAUCAUGCCCCUUAUGACCUGGGCUACACACGUGCUACAAUGGAUGGUACAACGAGUUGCGAGACCGCGAGGUCAAGCUAAUCUCUUAAAGCCAUUCUCAGUUCGGACUGUAGGCUGCAACUCGCCUACACGAAGUCGGAAUCGCUAGUAAUCGCGGAUCAGCACGCCGCGGUGAAUACGUUCCCGGGCCUUGUACACACCGCCCGUCACACCAUGAGAGUUUGUAACACCCGAAGCCGGUGGCGUAACCCUUUAGGGAGCGAGCCGUCUAAGGUGACCAAAAUG
rnacentral:rRNA from 1 species